rnacentral:rRNA from 1 species
CCUACGGGGGGCWUGCAGUAGGGAAUCUUCCGCAAUGGACGAAAGUCUGANCGGAGCAACGCCGCGUGAACGAAGAAGGCCUUCGGGUCGUAAAGUUCUGUUGUUAGGGAAGAACAAGUACCAGAGUAACUGCUGGUACCUUGACGGUACCUAACCAGAAAGCCACGGCUAACUACGUGCCAGCAGCCGCGGUAAUACGUAGGUGGCAAGCGUUGUCCGGAAUUAUUGGGCGUAAAGCGCGCGCAGGUGGUUCCUUAAGUCUGAUGUGAAAGCCCACGGCUCAACCGUGGAGGGUCAUUGGAAACUGGGGAACUUGAGUGCAGAAGAGGAAAGUGGAAUUCCAAGUGUAGCGGUGAAAUGCGUAGAGAUUUGGAGGAACACCAGUGGCGAAGGCGACUUUCUGGUCUGUAACUGACACUGAGGCGCGAAAGCGUGGGGAGCAAACAGGAUUAGAUACCCCURGUAGUC